AUUUUAAACAUUCUUGUGAUGCUGUGAUUUAUUUUUUAUAUUGCACUGCACUGACUGAAGCAAGGUAGGUGUGAGACUCACCUGUUAACUUGAAAAAAAAUCUCAUUUGUAUCGAAGAAACAGUUCUAUUUUUACCACCAGCUAUUUGCACAGCACAUAACUUUAUUUUAUAAGUGUAUAAUUAGUAUUUAAAAUAUUUGUGUGAUGCUGUGAUUUUUUUUUUAUAUUACACUGCACUGACUGACAGCCAGGCAGGUGUGAAGCACACCUGCUAAUAUACUAAUAAUACUACUAAUAAUAAUUUAUUAUAAAUAUGUAUAAUAUAUAGUGAGUUGAACAACAUUGCUGUAGCAUAUUUUUCAAGCACAUGUAAGAAAGAGCAUAAACCAAAGAAUUGGCCACCAUUUAAUGCAGUGACCUUCAUGGCAUUUGUCACAGGUCAUCUUAUCUUCCUGUUAUUCUUCACUGUUGUAUCAAAUUAGGCUGAUAUACCGCCAAAAAUGUUCGCAUGUAUUUUUUUUCAUUAGCGCAAAUUAAGAACACUGUUGGAUGGAUCGAGGGACGGGAAACAGCCACUGAUGCGUGAGGGGGCAAAGUUCUUAAUAACGCUGAAAGACUUGAAAAGCGUCUGUCCUGUUAACAUAUUAGAUGAGUCAUCAUUGCAGAUGCCGUGGCUGACGGAUGAAGCUGUAAAUUUCCGAGUUGCGCAGAUCGCCAGGUCUGCCAAACAGACUUCUGGCCUGAGGACAUUCGACUUCAUCCUUUGGUACCGUGAGUGGACCAAAAAUAAAACUGUAAACAGCAAAAAGCUGAAAUGGCUCUUGCCAGCAGAAAAAAUCUUGCUUCCAAGAAUUGUUGGAGGCAACACUCCUGAGAGAGGAAACCACUUUAUCCUUUGGGUGUUCGACUUUAAAAAGGAGUUACGGGUAUACGACUCAUUGGGAAAGUAUAAAGACAUUGACCACUUUGAAAUGGAACUUUUGAGUGACGUCUUCAAAGAUAAAGGUGGACUGGGAGCCUGGACAGUAAACUAUCCACAGCAGUGGAUGCAGACGGAUGGAGACAACUGUGGGAUCUUUGUGUGCACUGUAAAUGCUGCUCUGUUGCCAUAUACUUAUUAA
rnacentral:lncRNA from 1 species